rnacentral:rRNA from 1 species
UGGGGAAUUUUGGACAAUGGGGGAAACCCUGAUCCAGCCAUCCCGCGUGUGCGAUGAAGGCCUUCGGGUUGUAAAGCACUUUUGGCAGGAAAGAAACGUCGCGGGUUAAUACCCUGCGAAACUGACGGUACCUGCAGAAUAAGCACCGGCUAACUACGUGCCAGCAGCCGCGGUAAUACGUAGGGUGCAAGCGUUAAUCGGAAUUACUGGGCGUAAAGCGUGCGCAGGCGGUUCGGAAAGAAAGAUGUGAAAUCCCAGAGCUUAACUUUGGAACUGCAUUUUUAACUACCGGGCUAGAGUGUGUCAGAGGGAGGUGGAAUUCCGCGUGUAGCAGUGAAAUGCGUAGAUAUGCGGAGGAACACCGAUGGCGAAGGCAGCCUCCUGGGAUAACACUGACGCUCAUGCACGAAAGCGUGGGGAGCAAACAGGAUUAGAUACCCUGGUAGUCCACGCCCUAAACGAUGUCAACUAGCUGUUGGGGCCUUCGGGCCUUGGUAGCGCAGCUAACGCGUGAAGUUGACCGCCUGGGGAGUACGGUCGCAAGAUUAAAACUCAAAUGAAUUGAC